rnacentral:rRNA from 1 species
GUGGGGAAUAUUCCGCAAUGGACGAAAGUCUGACGGAGCAACGCCGCGUGAGUGAUGAAGGUUUUCGGACUGUAAAGCUCUGUUGUUUAGGACGAAAGUGCCUGUUGCAAAUAGUUACAGGUAUUGACGGUACUGAACGAGGAAGCCACGGCUAACUACGUGCCAGCAGCCGCGGUAAUACGUAGGUGGCAAGCGUUGUCCGGAAUUAUUGGGCGUAAAGAGCAUGUAGGCGGAGAUUUAAGUCUGUUGUGAAAAUGCGGGGCUCAACCCCGUAUUGCGAUGGAAACUGAAUUUCUUGAGUGCAGGAGAGGAAAGGGGAAUUCCCAGUGUAGCGGUGAAAUGCGUAGAGAUUGGGAGGAACACCAGUGGCGAAGGCGACUUACUGGGCCGUAACUGACGCUGAGGCGCGAAAGCGUGGGGAGCGAACAGGAUUAGAAACCCGGGUAGUCC